rnacentral:rRNA from 1 species
CACGUAGUUAGCCGGUGCUUCUUCUUCCGGUACCGUCAUCCACGCUUAGUAUUAAUAAACGCGAUUUCUUUCCGGCUGAAAGAGCUUUACAACCCGAAGGCCUUCUUCACUCACGCGGUAUGGCUGGAUCAGGCUUGCGCCCAUUGUCCAAAAUUCCCCACUGCUGCCUCCCGUAGGAGUCUGGACCGUGUCUCAGUUCCAGUGUGGCGGGUCGUCCUCUCAGACCCGCUACGGAUCGUCGCCAUGGUGAGCCUUUACCUCACCAUCUAGCUAAUCCGAUAUCGGCCACUCCGAAAGCGAGAGGUCUUGCGACUCCCCCCUUUCCCCUCAGGGCAUAUGCGGUAUUAGCGUAACUUUCGCUACGUUACUCCCCCACUUCCGGACAUGUUCCGAUAUGUUACUCACCCGUUCGCCACUCUCAUCCCGAAGGACUACCGUUCGACUUGCAUGUAGUAAAGCAUACCGCCAGCGUUCAAUCUAGACGCCAGGACUACAAACUCU